rnacentral:misc_RNA from 1 species
ACGCUGUCAUUGCAUUGUCGCAAAUACGCAUCGCAAUGACGGGAUGCAGCCCUGCAUUCCGGGCAACUCAGAUCAGAUAUUGUUUCGAAAUGGUAUCGCCCAGCCGAGCGUUGUCCGCAAUGAAUUCCUGGNNNNNCCCGCGCUGGAACAAAUCAUCCAUGUGCGCGUGUUCCAGCCGGUUGCGGACGCCGCGCGCGUGGCGCUGU